AGCUUUACGCCAUUGCAGCAUUGUAGCCAAUGAGGUUUAUCCAAAGCGCAAUUAUUGCUAAUUGAAAACUUCCCAAUACCCCGCCAUGACAACUUGAAAUAUAGUUGGCAUUGGUAAUUUUUGACAGUCUCUACAGAGA